rnacentral:rRNA from 1 species
AGUGAACGCUGGCGGUAGGCCUAACACAUGCAAGUCGAACGGCAGCACAGUAAGAGCUUGCUCUUACGGGUGGCGAGUGGCGGACGGGUGAGGAAUACAUCGGAAUCUACUUUUUCGUGGGGGAUAACGUAGGGAAACUUACGCUAAUACCGCAUACGACCUACGGGUGAAAGCAGGGGAUCUUCGGACCUUGCGCGAUUGAAUGAGCCGAUGCCGGAUUAGCUAGUUGGCGGGGUAAAGGCCCACCAAGGCGACGAUCCGUAGCUGGUCUGAGAGGAUGAUCAGCCGCACUGGAACUGAGACACGGUCCAGACUCCUACGGGAGGCAGCAGUGGGGAAUAUUGGACAAUGGGCGCAAGCCUGAUCCAGCCAUACCGCGUGGGUGAAGAAGGCCUUCGGGUUGUAAAGCCCUUUUGUUGGGAAAGAAAAGCAGCAGGUUAAUACCCCGCUGUUCUGACGGUACCCAAAGAAUAAGCACCGGCUAACUUCGUG